UCAGUUUUCAAACCCCCCACAACCUUUUAUCAUAACUUCUCUGCUUCAUUUGUUCAGUUACAAAAUUCUAAUCUCCGUACAUCGAUCCACCUCCUUCCCAAUUCGAGCACUGCUUUUCUCUUCUUUCUAAUGCUUCGUCUUCGUUUCAGAUCAGCUUGCUUUGACUCAGCCACUCCCGCCAGUUCGGAAUCGCCACCACCGCGGCGUACCGGAAGGAUGGAGGAGAUACGUUUUUCAUCGAAGAAAGCAUUUCGUGGACGUCCCUCGGUGUGUUCGAUAAGGUUUCUCAAGCUCUCUACAACGCCGGCCUCAGCCAACCGUCUCUGGUUCAAGUGCCAAGCUGCUAGCAUACUGUCUAUACUUUCAAGGAAUGAUUGUUGCAGCUGAAACUGAAUCACCACGUUCAGGAUGGAUGUUGUUUUGAUCAGGGAUUCCCCUCAUUGGGUUCUCAUUGCAAUUCAGUUUUACAGUAAACGCAAUUCCGGUUCCUAAAGCUCAAAGAGAAGGUCGGCAAAAGUACGUUUAGAGCUAUAUAUGUCGUGUUCCUUUCGAGUAUGUGAUUGGGCUUUUGUCUUUCUUCCAUUUUAGUCAUCUGUUUUCCUUUCAAUUUUCACGAAAAAGAAACUUUAGAUGUUAAAUUUUUCAGUGCACAGGUUUAUAUUUAAUCCCUCCUAUCUGUAAUGGAAGUUUAUAGGGUUUAUGCUUCGGUUUAUAGUGAUGGAAAUAAAGUUGUUGCGAUGAAGACCUCUUUCACUCUCUGAAGCCCAGAACGGAGUGAAACGGUAUUGGAUUGAUUUUAGUGAGUGGGUUUUUUUGUUAACGUUGAUCAGAUUUGGACCUUUGUGUCGAUCGAAGUCAUUGCUGGUGGGUUAGCUGAGGUAUGAUUGCUAGCUUUCUCUCUUGGUGCAAUUCAAAAUGUUUUGAGUUGUUAUAUGGACUUAAGAUUUAGUAAGUACUUGCCAAAAGUCAUGGGAUUUCGAAAUAUCGAUGUCUUGCUUGCUUAUUAGCUUAAACAUAUAAUCUAAGAACCAAGGUAGUCCUUUUUUCACUGCCUCACUGGAUACAAUGUGUUGAUGAGUUACACAACAGAGUCGUGUGUGAGAAUCUGUGCCUGCAACCUCAUUGGUUAGGCAGGCCUUGGUGUUUGCUGUUUUGGGCAGUGUUUAAUCCAUUGCCAGUGGUGCACUACUUUGUGAUACCAUGGACGAGCAAGAAAGUAAUACAAGAGUUUAAUUGCAUAAUUACACGGAAAAAUAAGUUCAUAUAAUUUUAACUAUUCUGAAGUGAAUCUUCUACUGGUCCGGUUCAAUGUUGUCCCAGUUUACAUGGGACGAUGCAACACUUAUAUGACACUUUUCUUAUCGGCUGUAUAUGGAUCAUUGUUGACUUAUGGAUUAAUAUGCUUAUGUAUAUGUAUACAUAUGUUUUGAUUCCUGUUAAACUUUGUUUGUAUUAUUUUUGUGUUUGUCAUUGACAGUAGCUUUGAAAACAUUCAUAUUUAUCCUAUGGAUUCUGCAGCCUUCUAAUUUCAAAGACGAUUCCAACCCCAUUGGUGAAUUUCAAAUGCCUUAAUCUCUUGAAUUCUUUCACCUAUUUGGCAUGUCAAUUGUCAUUAUUAGCUAUUAGAUGAAGUACUUGAAAUUAUGACGUUCAUUUUGAACUCAAAAUUGAAGAAACACAAACACAUCUGUAACUUCUACACAUGUUAUAUUAUGCAACAUAUACAUGCACAUAUAUUCUAACCCUUGCACUGUGUUGUUGCACGUACAAAAAAAGAAAAAAAGAAAAAAAGAAGAAAAAAGACUAAUGUGCUGCUCACUAUAGUUUAAUUAAAUUGAUGAUACACAUUUGAGGACAUGAUUUUUAGGAUAGUAUCACUUUCAUAUGUUAGUUAACUGUUACAGUAAUUUUUUCCCUUAUGUGCUCAUUUCUUUUGUCAAAUAAAUUAUUGUGCUUUUUUAUUUUUUUUUAUUUUUUAUUUUUCGAGACUUGGGAGCAGCCUCUCCAUAAAAUGGGGGUAAGGCUAGCCGACAUUCACCUCUCCCAGACCCUGCGUAAAGCGGGAGCCUUGUGCACUGGGUACGACCUUUUUUAAUACAAAAAGUUUUCAACUGGAGUUCAACAUAUCAAGUAUGGAGAGAAAUGAUAGGAGCAAUAUAGCACAUAUUGUCAUCUUCUUAAAUAAAUUGUUCUCAAUGUUAGGAUGUCUUUUUCCUCCGUUUGGGGUUUUGUCCUACUUGGUACGAACAAUAUUUCAAUUCUAUCAAAUAUUCUCCCUCAAAUUCUGUAAACUUUGAAUUAAUACAUGAUGAUCACCUUUCUUUUACGUUUCUAAUAAAUCUCAUAAAGAAAGAAAAUAAUGAAAUACAAACAAGUGAAGCAAUUCACGCAGAUAAAUACGUUUAAAAUGUGAGUCGCGCGCAGUGCGCUGUGAUUAAAAAAAAAGGCCUUUCGCAAUCAUUUCGUGUCAAGGCCUUGAAAUUGUAUAAUGGUACAAGAUUAUUGUGUUACUGUACGAGGCCUCGACAUUAUAGAGCCUUGAAAUUAUCUCUUUCCCUUUUGGUUUUUGACAGAUUGUAUUAGAUUUAUUGUUGUUCGUUUGAUGAAGUUCUCGAUUCAAGAACAUAUAUAUUUUCAGUUUCUACUAUUUGGUUUUUGUUGAGUUUUAAGUCUCAGUUGUAGUGAUGUUUGUGUGUUUCUAAAUUUCUUUCAAUAGCUUACUUUUAGUUUGCUUUUGUUUGUAUAUAUUUCUUCCGAGCAAUUUUUCAAGUAUUUUUCAAGUUGCAUUCAUACGAGCUAUACGAAAAGGAUAUGUAUUUGAGACAAUUUGGUGAGAAGAGCGUCCUAAAUUAUUAGUACGAUAUCUACUCUUGCAAAGUAAGCCGACAUAUUUGAGCUUUCUGUUUUUUCCUAUUAAAGGCUGCAUAAUGAAAGGACUGAUUGCCUUUGUUACUAAUAUUUAUGGUGUCAGUGUUGUGGUGUAAACAAAAAAAUAAUUUUAAUUUUCCCUACCAAAUACUAUGAUGAAUCCUAUGUCAAAUGAUGUAUGUGGUUUUGAGAUAUGUAAAAGAUCUAUUGUGGUACUUAUCUGUAUUUGACUAUUUUGCUUGGUAGGUAACUGUGAUCUCCAUGCUUAUUGUUUUGUGUGGGUUGUUAGAAAAUACUCCAGACAGUGAGCAAGUUUUAUUCGAUAUUGAAUUUGUUAAAAGAAGAAGAAAAAGCAUUUUUCUCAAUAGAAUGCAAAUUUCAUUCAACUUGGAGAAAUACUAUUUGACCACUCAGACUUAAUUAGUUUGUUUGUAACUUAAAACAAUAGUGACACUAUUAAUAUCUAAACUAAAUGGAUAACACUGGCAAUGAGCAAUGACUUUUGAGUAAUCUGAGGGUUAAAACAUCCUCAGAUUACACAUUUUAGUUCAUCUUUUGGCAAUGAGCAAUACAGUCCUGCAAGUGGCCCUUGACCACAGUGAUGGAAAUAUGUUGACCCCUUGCAUGAUGGUAUGGGUUCGAACUCCGUCGGUGGCUAAUAUAACAUUUAAUCUAACAAAAUCUAUCAUUUGACAAAAAAAAGAGCAAUACAGUCUCAUGCGGAAAUAAUGAGAGUCUUUGUACGCACUUCAUUCGCGAUUUGGGGAAAGAAUCUAAUCCCCUUUUGAAAGAGUCCCUCGAUUUCGAUUACAUUUUAAGUUUUUCCCUAAAUAGUUGGAUGAGGCCAUCUCCUUUGGCAAUGACAUCUUAUCUAUUUUUAGUAAUCACUUAAGAAAUAUAAGAAUAUCUAAAGAACACAUUUUUGGGGUGCGUAGAGCCGUGAUGCAAAAAAGCCUCUCGCAUGUGCGUGAGCGCGUGCAGAGAGGUUAGUGUUAUUAAAGCGCUUGUGAAUACGGUGGAUCAUUUGGUAUUUUUUUUUCAAUAGGAAUUCCAUUAACAAAGCAGCAUGGGAAGAAAAUACAAAGAGACUCCUUCAAAAUGGAGAAGAUAAGCACAGCUCUGUAUCGCCAACGAUGCAGUCGCAUGAGCUGCUUUGUUUGCAGACCUAGGAAUCUAACUCCAAUGAAGAGAAGAGAACAAGCAAGCAUGUCUCCCUACUUCUUCCACUAUUAGAAUGAUUUUCCACAAACCUUUCAAGUUUCUUUUCUGAAUUAUUUCCAUAAUAUUUUCGAAAGGAGUAAUACUAGGGAGAUUCAAUUUUGUAAACUAAAUGACAUGAAAGUUGGUGAUUGGAUUA